ACCGCCCCUGGCAGCGACACGGCGGCCGAGCCUCCUCAGGGUCUGCUGACGGUCCCCCGGGAGGAGAACUUGAGAUGCUCUUACUGCGAACUCUCCUCUCUGCCAGCAUCGCGGCUACCUGGAGGAAGGCAACCUCGUGCUCUGUGGGGGCUCUCCGAGGAGCACCUGUAAAACUCCAAAUAAACCCCCGGUGCUGGGCAUCCCGAUCACCACACCCCAAACGCUGAGCGCUUCCCACCUCGUUAGUGGCAGCUCCCACAACAUUCACAGACACAUCACGAUGGGCAAACUGCUGCCGGGAGAGAGGCCUGACCUGGAGCUUAGGGGUGACAAGGUGACAAUGAACAUGUCAACUCCCAAUUCAUUUAAAUGAGUGCUUUGGCCUUAAAGGACAAGAGACUUCCCCAGCCAGCCCUGAAAAUAGCUGUGAAGCACCAACCUUCCAGAUGCGGUGUGACAUCCUUCCCUGGCGAGCAGUCCUUGCCACGCUAGCCCGAGCCCAUGGGACACACCGCUAGCUACAGAGAUAACGGAGCAAAGGCCUUGACCACUUUCCAUCCUGCCUUACACUGGAGCGUUUUGCCGUGCUCAACUCCUCACAGAAUAACGGGAUACACCCCCCAGUAACAACACGUCCCUAAUAUUAUACAUCACUUAAAUAUUCGUGGUUGGUUGUAGGACUGGGCAACUUCUGCAAGCAGCGUUCUUGACCCGAAAUAGUGUUCAGCUGAUGUGGGGCGAAAAAGGAAUUACUGUUUGCCUAUAAAGUAUUUAGCCCCAAGAUAAAUCCUUGGCUACAGCUACAAUUGGACAUCACAUGCUUCUCCACCUCUUGCCAAAAAUAACAAAGAAUUUCUUUAUUUACUUGCACAACUACACGUACUCUGCUAUUUUUUCUCACUACUUGUUCCAGUAUUUUCAACACGUGUCUGCUUGAUUUUAACCUUUAUUUAGGACUGAUCCUUGUAAUAAAGAUUGUUAGGAAGUAAAGUCAGAAUUUGAAUUAAUUAAUUGGAGAAGCCAGACUUCUUGUACAGAAGUGCUAAAACCUAACAUUGGAUUUACUACCACAACGCCACCAAUUCUCAGUCUUGUAAGUAAUGAGCCAUUUAAUUUAGGGCUGGGGAAGAAAUAGGUGGGUGUCAAUGGUAGUAAAUUAUAGCACUCAAGAGCUGCUCAUCACAUCUAUUGCUUGCUAAUUUUAGAAAUAUUAAUCAAGCUCCUAAAAAAAAAAGCAUCCUACAGAGUUAUUUCUACACAUUUUAUUAACAUAUAAAUAGACAGUAAAUGUUGAUAAACAUUCUUGUUGAUUACUUAAGCAUACAAACUCUAAAAUGCUUCAUCUGCAAACUUAAAUUGAUGUAUAUCAGCCCAAGUUGUGAUCCACUGACGAAUCUCAAUAUAAUUUUUCCAGCUGUUUAUUAGGAUCUAUUUCCAGGGACUUUCUUGUGGUUCCCCAUGUACUUUCUUACAGUUUGAUAACCAAAACAAUCCAAAUACAGUUGUACAUUUGAAUUACAUUAAUCCUGUACUAACAGGCAAAUUUAUGAACCCAGUGCUUCAAGGACACACAUGCACAAUUUUAGCCAACUUUCAGAAACAGAUUUUAAUUUCGAUUUAGAAAAAAAAGGGGUGUCUUUGGGCUCAUUAACCUCUCUCAUCAUACUGUUCUCUCACUGCAGUUUUGAGUUGGUCACAUUUGCUAAAUGACAGCACCUCCUGAAACAUCCCAGCACUGUCCUCAUGUUCCAGCUUUUGCUAAUUAGAUCAAGCUAAACUUCUACUCACCUUGCAACAGGAGUAUCACCAGCGUGUAAUCAAACUCUCAAAUCUCUUUGAAACUCCUUCAGUUGCUUCUGUGGAGCGCAGCAUCCCUCUGCAGAUCCAUUCUUUGUCCUUAUUUCCUCACAAGAUCUCUCAAGAAGCUCCUUACUUUGGAAGCUGUUUCAAUUGAAGGUUUCCUCAGCCUUGGGACUGAGGACUAGCCAGAGCUGGAGUGAUGAACCUCCCCUGUCAGUGACUCCUAAGGAUUAUUUUGGCCACAAAAUAGUUUUUAAGUGCCCACAAAGCACAGUAAAACAACAUUAGAUGUAUCAUCCAUUAGAUGUAUCAGCCAGCUUUAAACACUCUGAUGACCUCUUCUAUCAGAGCUUCUAUGUGUGUCUGAGAAACCCUCACAUGAUUUAUUUUUUUUUGGUCACCUGGAAAACAGCAAACUCUUCCCUGUCCUAUUUUUCUCUUGGCUGGUACCUUUGUGCUGGUAGGCAACAGAGGGGUUAACGUGGAAACUCCUGUUACACCUGUCCCUGUGCAUCUCCCAAGGGAUGCAUGAGGAGCCAUCCACUGUGGCUCUUCCAAAGAAGAAAAUCAAAUUAAAGCAUUCUUCUUCUUCAAUUCAUUCUUCUUGCAAGAAACCUCCUGCACCAUCCUGACAUUGCUGUUUCAAAUUCUGCCAGAAAGGCAGAAGAACUAAAUUAUAGAAUCAUUAAGACUGGAAAAGACUUCCAAGAUCAUUGAGUCCAACCUUUAAUAGAAGAGUGAUGUUUCAGUACAAGGUGACUAAUGACUUCUCUCUGAGCACAACAAAUGUUCCAGCUGACCUCACUUCUCAAAAUGCAUCAUUCCUUCAAAUAAACGUCAUUAAACACAAGCAGGCAGUGGAAUUACAGAAUUAAAACAUAAUCCUGCAUCACUCGAGUGACUCGGUGCUUAUUAGGAGGGAAACUAUUGCCAUCCAUAAAGGUUUCUGGGGCUGUGCUUUUGCAGCAUAUUCCAUAAUGAAUGAUUUGAUUAAUUGACUGCUGCUCAUCAUCAUUUUCCCAUCACCAAAGAGAAGUUUUAUUGCAGAGCAGGAUGUCUCAGGCUCCCCCACAGCACACAGGAGAGGAGCCUGCUCCAACUCUGGCAGGCACUGAAUCACAUCCAAGCCUAUUUUAGAAUUAAAUGGAAGAUGACCUCGUUACCUGGGUCUCUCCAACCUCACUGUGAAAGCACUUGAGGACUGAGCCAGGGCUUUGCUAUCAGCAGCUAAAACAAAACCCAAACUGCACAAAAAGCCCUUUUUGUUGCGUUGGUGUGAGGCCCUGUCACUAAUCUGUCUGCGGCACAAAUCCCUCCUGAGAAGCAGUUUUACCCAAGUCCAAGUGCACGUGGCUUGAAAAUGUCCACAUACACCCUCCCUGAACAGUUCCAUACACCAGCAACUCAUCCAUGUGUUUUCCUCCCUUUUAAAUGCAGAUUUUCUUAUUUCUCCCCUCCCCGUGUGAUAUCCUUAAUGAAAAAUUAAAAAUAUAUUUUGAACGCUUAAAUUACCAGAUUAGAUCUCCUCCUGGAAUGAACAGAAGAGGCACAUUAAUUACACGAGUUAUGAAAACAGAUCAAACCAUUUUAAAGAAAAAAACCUUUAUUUACCAGCAACGACCCAAGAUGGGUUCCAAAGGAAAAGGUGAUGUUGGGCAGUAGUUUUGGAUUGUUUUGACCCAGUGAAAUCCAGCUAGCAAUGAGACACUUGGCAGAAAGUAUCACAUGGCAGGAACAAAAAAAAACCCUCUGAGCAAUCUCUCCCCAGACAAUGCAGAACAAGAUCAGGUAACAUUUCUACUGAGCUAACUGCAGGUGCACUUGGUGCUGCUGCUGGUGCUUUGAUCUGUAGCAUUUUCACUUUAUGAGCAUUUUGAUGAUAGC